rnacentral:tRNA from 1 species
GGGGGCGUAACUCAGAUGUUAGCGAACUCGCUUAGCAUGCGAGAGGUACGGAGAUCGAUACCCCGCGCCUCCA